CUGUCUCUCCUAAAAUGUAAGCUCUAUGAGGACAAGGAGUUGGCCUGAUUCAAUACUGUAAAACCUUCACUACAGUAGUGCCUGGCACAUGGCAGACCUUUAACAAACAACAGAAUGAGUGAAUGAAUGGAUAAAUGGAGUCCAAAGUUUUGGGCUUCUACCAUAGUUAUUUUCAGUAAACCAUAUAUAUCCAACACAUAAGAGGGAUACAAAUACAGUUACAGAAAAGCCAAAUUAGUUAUGUUUCAUUUUUCUUUCCCUUCUAAUGAAAAAACUGGUUGCUAAAAUGAUCAAAAAGCAGGUAGCCUGGCAAAGCAGAGUUUGAACAAUUCAGUAAACAGGUAAACUGGCCUGGAUUAAGGUCAGAACAUAUUCUAGCCUUUCAGAGUGUCUUAACUUUGUUGUUCCCUGUAAGGAUGAAAUUUCCACAAAGACGCAAACUCCUACAGUAGAGCGGAGGAGAGGUGGUAUAUAGCAGGCUGCACAUGCAAGCUGAGAGUCUACCUCAGUGGUUUUCAACUGGUGGCAAAUUCUACAAUGCAGAUAUGUGACAAUGCCUGAAGACAUUCUGAUUGUCAAGAUUUGGGGGCUGCGGGAUAAAGAGGGGGUAGGGAUGCCACCUGUAUUUAGUGGGUAGAGGCCAAAGAUGCUGCUAAACAUGCACAGGACAGCCCCAUACAAGAAUGAAUUAUCCAGUCCAAAUAUCAAUAUUGCCAUUGUUGAGAUAUCUUAGUGCAUUCCCUUUUACUAAAGAAAGCAUACUAAAUGCAAGUGAUAUUAUUAGAUAUAUAACCUAAAACACACUUGAAUUUAGACAAUUAAACCAGCACAAUUUAAAGUCUUUGGUUACUAACAAUCACUGGUGAAAAUAAGACUGUAACACAUCAGUAUGUCAAGUUCCUGCUAUUAAGAAUCCCUGGUAGAUCCUGGAAAUAACAUUUCACCUGACAACGAGACCAUCUCUAAAAAUCAAAUCAGCUAGAAGUCACUCAAAAAAAUCAGAAAGCUAUGUUGCCCCCAAGUUACUUAAAGACGGCACUCUGCUACUGCAAUACCCACAAUAUCUCUGGUAUUUUUCCUGUGUGUCCUUUUUAAAUUUUACCUUUUCCACAAAAGCUUUCCUGUAACUCCACUAGUCUUUGUUACAGUGCCUUCCACCUAGGGGGCACUCAAUUAAAUGUUUGAUGCCUGAAACAUUUACUAAAGGAAACUCUCCAGUCCAUUCAGCUCAUUCCAUUUAAUUAUUUUUGCACCUAAGUACUACCCAAAUAAGCAUUCUGUUGAUUCUUAUCUGUAUGCCUUGUUCGCCAUCUUCCCUGCAGCUAGACUGUCAUAUUUCCUUCUGUAUAUACACAGGCUUCAGGAUAGAGCAAGGCACCCAAAAGUAAUUCCCAAAAGAAAUUUCUGAUUCACACAUUUUUAGGAUUCAGCCAGGAAAUAUGUGUGAGGAGAAUGAAGUAUGUUUACGGAGUUUCGAGAGAAUGUCCUAAAAUGAUUACUUUCUUUUCAACAUUUCUUUGACACUCAACUUCUACUGCGUUCGCACGGAAAGUUUUGGGGCAGCAAGAUCGCGGACCAGUAAGAGUUACAUAAUUCCUUGGAAUCUCCCACUUAAGCAUCUUUUUCUUAAAGGCGGGGACCACGUUACAUGCGGUUACCAAGACAACCGAGAACAGCAAAAAUCUGAAGCGGUUCUAUCCACGGAAGAAAUUCUAAGGUCCAAAGUUAAAGUGCGGGCCAGCAGCGCGAAUUAAUAGACACCGGCCACUACUGUGGCUAAUUUAAAAAUCUCUGUUCGGUGCCGCGCUCCCCCCACCCCUUUCUCUUUUUUCAGGAAUCCUUGUUUCGGAAUAGAGACCGAAGAGAGCGCUCGGCAGACAAACGGCCGUAAGCCAGGCAGUCGCCUCCCGCCCACUUCACUCCGCCCAAAGAAGCCACUGCCCUCCACAACCCCAUCGCGCCCACCCAAGCCGCGGACCUGAGGGAGCUCUGUCCACAACCCCAAGAUGCUUAAGAGAAGAAAACGUGUGCUUCCUCGGCAUCUGAGGUCAGAGAUCUACUUACUACCCCUCUGCUUUAGGCCCUGCUGAGAGGGCAAACUCAAUCCGGGGAGCCACUCAGGAAAGACCCCAGCUUCGGCGAGGCCUAGUCCCCGCAGUGGGAGGCGGAAGGGCCUAGCCGUCGUCUCAGCCCACGUCGCUCUGUGCCCUGAGCCCGGUCACCGCCCCGAAGAGUGUGGGCAGAGAAAUGAAAAAAGGGUACUUCCAGACCCUUCCGUAUCGAGGACCCGAAUCAACAACCCACCUGCUCUAUAAACUUCAGCAAGUCUAUCUACUUCACAAGGCUGUGAGGAUGACAUGAGAUAAUGAAUGUCAAGUGCUUAAGUGCUCGGCUCACAGCAUUUGAGUUUGCAGCCCCUGGUAUAAAAAGAUAAUCUCAGAAUGUGGGCAUCCAUCCAGCAAGGGAACUAGCAGGCCUAGAUGUGACUGAUGAGAAGGUCGACUGAAAGUGAAGGAUGUAAGCCUAUCCUUGCUGAUAGGCAGAAACACAUUCCUACCAGGGGUCUGAGAGACUUGGCAGAGGCUGUGUAAUGGCUGAGAGUGGGUGAAAACUGAGGAUGGAAGAUUUCCCUUGUGGAGUUCAAGGUCAAGUUCAACCUACAGUUAAGAACUCUUCUCCAAACCAUAAUAAGAUAUCACUCACACCCACUAGGAUAGCUAUCUUUAAAAAGAGAGACAAUAACAAGUAUUAGUGAAGAUGUGGAAAAAUUGGAACCCUUGUACAUUGCUGGUAAUAAAAUGUGGUAUAUCCAUACAACAGAAUAUUAUUUGGCAAUAAGAAGAAGUAAACUACCAAUAUAUGAAUCAACAUAUAUGAACCUCGAAAACAUUAAAAGAAAGAAGCCAAAAAAGAUCAGAUAGUAUAUUAUUCGCUUUAUAUUAAGUGUCCAGAAUAGGCAUAUCCAUACUGAAUGUGGAUAGUGGUUGCCUGGGGCUGGGCCAGGGAGAGAGGAGCAGAGGGGAGGACUGAGAAAGAGAAGCGACUGCUAAUAGCUAUGGGUUUCUUUUUGGAGUGUUGAAAACAUUCUAAAUUAUUUGGUGGUAAUGGUUGUGCAACUCUAUGAAUAUUAUAGAAAGCACUGAAUUGUAUACUUUGAAGGGAUGAAUUUUAUGAUAUGUGAAUUAUAUCUCAAUA